rnacentral:rRNA from 1 species
GGGACACGUGGUAUCCUGUCUGAAUAUGGGGGGACCAUCCUCCAAGGCUAAAUACUCCUGACUGACCGAUAGUGAACCAGUACCGUGAGGGAAAGGCGAAAAGAACCCCGGCGAGGGGAGUGAAAAAGAACCUGAAACCGUGUACGUACAAGCAGUGGGAGCACCUUCGGGUGUGACUGCGUACCUUUUGUAUAAUGGGUCAGCGACUUAUAUUCUGUAGCAAGGUUAACCGUAUAGGGGAGCCGCAGGGAAACCGAGUCUUAACUGGGCGUUAAGUUGCAGGGUAUAGACCCGAAACCCGGUGAUCUAGCCAUGGGCAGGUUGAAGGUUGGGUAACACUAACUGGAGGACCGAACCGACUAAUGUUGAAAAAUUAGCGGAUGACUUGUGGCUGGGGGUGAAAGGCCAAUCAAACCGGGAGAUAGCUGGUUCUCCCCGAAAGCUAUUUAGGUAGCGCCUCGUGAACUCAUCUUCGGGGGUAGAGCACUGUUUCGGCUAGGGGGUCAUCCCGACUUACCAACCCGAUGCAAACUACGAAUACCGAAGAAUGUUAUCACGGGAGACACACGGCGGGUGCUAACGUCCGUCGUGAAGAGGGAAACAACCCAGACCGCCAGCUAAGGUCCCAAAGUCAUGGUUAAGUGGGAAACG